rnacentral:rRNA from 1 species
UACGUAGGGUGCAAGCGUUGUCCGGAAUUAUUGGGCGUAAAGAGCUCGUAGGCGGCCAGAUAAGUCCGGUGUGAAAGUCAAAGGCUCAACCUUUGAAUGCCGCUGGAAACUGUCUGGCUUGAGUCCGGAAGGGGCGAGUGGAAUUCCUGGUGUAGCGGUGAAAUGCGCAGAUAUCAGGAGGAACACCAAUGGCGAAGGCAGCUCGCUGGAACGGUACUGACGCUGAGGCGCGAAAGCGUGGGGAGCGAACAGG